UCUGUGGGCCAAGAUAUGUGCGAAACAAAACAGUGGGGCCCUGUAUAGUUAGGCUGUAUAUUUAUAGCUAGCAAGGUGCCUAGCUAAGUCGGUGGAGGAGAAGUUCAACAGGCAAAGGGAGACACAUAAGGUCAGUGCCAAAAGUUUACACAUGGCUGGAGCCUUGUGGAGGAGCAAUAUAUUAAGACAUCGAUCUUGACUUGCACGUGCAUUCGUCCCUUUUUCUUAAGUUUGGGCACUUCUUCCUUAUCCUGGAAGAGAGUGGCUAAUGGUAGCGACCCCAUGCCUGCUCUUUUUCCUUAAUAAGGGCUAAAAGUUUACUUCUCUUCCGACAGUUCUUAGCUCUCUGUGGCUAUCACACAGGAAACGUUUUAAUUGAGAUCAGUCCCCACCAUUGUCAUCUUUCUUGCUCUUGAAAAUCCUGGCUUGGGCUUAUUUUGCUUAGGCUGCUUUCCUUGUUAUAGUUGCUUUCUCUCCCAUUUUUGCCUUUAUUCCUCUUUGAAUCUGACUUAUCCAGCUUGUUAAAAUCUACGAGGUAUUCAGCAACUGAGGUAGCUGUAGUUAGGAUGACCACGGUUCGGCUUAAAAUGCAUUACCGAACUCAAAUCCGAUUAUAAAUUAGGUACUUGAGUCCUUGAAUCUAAACUUGAUACAGGUAGUAAAAACAAUACCCGAAUUCGUCCCAAAUCCAUUUAUUUACUAUCCAAACUUACUAAAAUCGGAUCUAAUUGGAUCGAGUGUCCCCAAGGUCAGGUGCCUCAUAAAAGCUUGCUUCAUUAUCAGCAUUGUUGGGGAAGAACUGCUGCAUGAGCUCCUUUCGAUCUUAUCCCUUGUUUUAAUGGUGCAAAGACCGUUUUCAAUAUAAAGACUUUUGCCUCCAUCGAACUAGGUCAGUGUUAGUAAGCUUCAAAAAAUCUGAAAAAACAAAGAUGAACUAGAGCAAGGAGAGAAGACGAACUCAGAUUGAAGAUUAGCGUUUUACUUUUUCUCGCAAGUGAGAGAGAGAGAUGGGUAGAGGAGAGAUGAGAGAGAAAAAUUAUUAAAAAAUGCAAGGUUGGUGAGAGAAAAAAAAAAAAAAAAAACCAUUAUUAAAAAAUAUAUGAUGUGGCAUUUUGAAAAUAAUUGUUUGCUGACUAAGUAAUUCCAUGUCAACUUUUCACUAGCAGUUGACUGAAAAACUAGUAAAAAGACUUAUGUGUUAUUUCAAUAAAAGGUUAUGUAUUUUUAAGUGACGAAUUGAAAUAUAAAUACAAUUAAGAAGUUUC